rnacentral:tRNA from 1 species
GCCUGGAUGGCUCAGCCGGUUGAGCUUCCGACUUCAGCUCAGGUCAUGAUCUCAUGGUCUGUGGGUUCAAGCCCCGCAUCAGGCU